GUUUUUCUUUUUGGCCAGUAGACUCAGUGAUCGUCUACUCCUACGUUGAUCUGUGUCCAGCCUGGCCUGCUCUAAGGAUCUGUUUUUCAUGAUGGGCUCUCUUCCCUUCUUUGAGAGCUUCUUAGUUGCCUUUCUGAUCAGGGAAUAGAGGGCCAUGCAGGCAGCUCGGAGCUUGGCCCCGGCAUUCUGAAUGAAAUGGCACAGGAGGGCUGGUGCACAGCAGUUUCUGCACAGCACAGGUGGUGUCUCUGGUCUAGGAGUCGUGUGUUCUGCUGCUUCUUGCCUGGGCGUCAUCUCUGCGUGUGCUGCUUGGGGUCUGAAUGGUCUACCCUGUGGCAGACGCCUCCAUGGCACAACCGAAGAACUCUCCACGAGGGUACGUUCAGGGAGCCCCUCUGGCUGCUGGGCAGCAGUGGUAUUUUUCUUGUCCUGUUGCUCACUGGCCUUGACCUCGGGUGAAUUCCUCUCUCGAACUGUUGCUCCUCCUGCAACAACCGGGGCUGCAGUGUCAGAUGGAGCCACGCCCUGGGAUCCUUCAUUGUUAGGCUGGGUGUAGUAGUCUCUAUAAAAUUCCAACUUUCGCCUCUCAACAUAUUCAUAUUGCUCCAGCCACAGAUGCAUCAUCUUGAUCUGAUGGUCAUCAGGGCCUUCAUAGAUUCUGCAGCAGGCAAUGUGGACUGGAAUCCUUGUUUCUUGUCUGCACUUAUCUGUCUCGGGGGCAGAUUUUCGCCGUGGGACAAGGGCCUGUGCUGCUGACCUCCUUGCCAGAGCUUGCCCAUGCCCACGCUGGAAGAGCGAGUAAGUGGGCCUCCUUGAGUGCCUCAGAGGAUGGGGAAGCUGGGAGUCUCUCUGACCCAGGACAGGCUCUGAGAAACUCCUCUUCAGGAACUGUGGUGCCUGCAUUUUUAUGUUAGGAUGCUCCGAAUGACUUUGCAUAGCCUCAUCCUCUAAGGGCAGGUCCUGCACCGUGGGAGCCACCAUCACAUCAGGCUUUCUCUGAUCACUGAGGCCCAGUCCCUGCUCCGCUUUCCUUUCUGGGAUGGAGCUUUCCAAGUUCUCCUGGGCUUUUGGGUGUCGGUAAGGUGCCUCCAUUUCCCCCCAACUGGUGCUCAACGGAUACAGCGAUGUCCUCAAAGAGCAGCGGUUUUCACUCACUGUGACCGAGCUGGUGGAAUCAUCGCUGCCCUCAGGCAGUUCCAAGGUGAGCCUGUGUGAGAUGGAGAAAGAGAAGGAAGAUGAGGGCGGUUCUGAGCCAAACUCUCCUGAGGACCCCGGGGCUUUUCUGUCGCUUCAAAGGUGUUGGCAGGCUGUGUCAUUUCCACAGGCUCCCCAAAAGUGUGUGCCCAAG
ensembl:lncRNA